UACGUAGGGUGCGAGCGUUGUCCGGAAUUAUUGGGCGUAAAGGGCUCGUAGGCGGUUUGUCGCGUCGGGAGUGAAAUCCACUGGCUUAACUGGUGGCUUGCUUUCGAUACGGGCAGACUGGAGGUAUGCAGGGGAGAACGGAAUUCCUGGUGUAGCGGUGAAAUGCGUACGAUAUCAGGAGGAACACCGGUGGCGAAGGCGGUUCUCUGGGCAUGUCCUGACGCUGAGGAGCGAAAGUGUGGGGAGCGAACAGG
rnacentral:rRNA from 1 species